ACGGAGGAUCCGAGCGUUAUCCGGAAUUAUUGGGUUUAAAGGGUGCGUAGGCGGCACUUUAAGUCAGGGGUGAAAUACAGCGGCUCAACCGUUGCAGUGCCCUUGAUACUGAAGUGCUUGAAUUCGGACGAAGGAGGCGGAACGGGACAAGUAGCGGUGAAAUGCAUAGAUAUGUCCCAGAACCCCGAUUGCGAAGGCAGCUUCCUAGGCCGAUAUUGACGCUGAUGCACGAAAGCGUGGGGAUCGAACAGGAUUAGAUACCCUGGUAGUCCACGCCCUAAACGAUGAUGACUCGAUGUUUGCGAUAUAUUGUAAGCGUCCAAGCGAAAGCGUUAAGUCAUCCACCUGGGGAGUACGAUCGCAAGAUUGAAACUCAAAGGAAUUGACGGGGGCCCGCACAAGCGGAGGAGCAUGUGGUUUAAUUCGAUGAUACGCGAGGAACCUUACCCGGGCUUGAAAGUUAGCGGCGGUUGCAGAGACGCAACUUCCCUUCGGGGCGCGAAACUAGGUGCUGCAUGGCUGUCGUCAGCUCGUGCCGUGAGGUGUUGGGUUAAGUCCCGCAACGAGCGCAACCCCUAUGUUUAGUUGCCAGCACGUUAAGGUGGGGACUCUAAACAGACUGCCGGCGUAAGCCGUGAGGAAGGUGGGGACGACGUCAAGUCAUCAUGGCCCUUACGUCCGGGGCUACACACGUGCUACAAUGGGCGGUACAGCGGGAAGCUACCUGGCAACAGGAUGCGGAUCUCGAAAAGCCGUCCACAGUUCGGAUCGGGGCCUGCAACUCGGCCCCGUGAAGCUGGAUUCGCUAGUAAUCGCGUAUCAGCAAUGACGCGGUGAAUACGUUCCCGGGCCUUGUACACACCGCCCGUCAAGCCAUGAAAGCUGGGGGUGCCUAAAGCAUGUAGCCGCAAGGAGCGUGUUAGGGCAAUACCGGUAAUUGGGGCUAAGUCGUAACAAGGUAGCCGUACCGGAAGGUGCGGCUG
rnacentral:rRNA from 1 species